ACGGGAGGCAGCAGUGGGGAAUAUUGGGCAAUGGGGGAAACCCUGACCCAGCAACGCCGCGUGAAGGAAGAAGGCCUUCGGGUUGUAAACUUCUUUUACCAGGGACGAACAAAUGACGGUACCUGGAGAAAAAGCAACGGCUAACUACGUGCCAGCAGCCGCGGUAAUACGUAUGGUGCAAGCGUUAUCCGGAUUUACUGGGUGUAAAGGGAGCGUAGACGGCAAGGCAAGUCUGAAGUGAAAGCCUGGGGCUCAACCCCGGAACUGCUUUGGAAACUGUCUGGCUAGAGUGCAGGAGAGGUAAGUGGAAUUCCUAGUGUAGCGGUGAAAUGCGUAGAUAUUAGGAGGAACACCAGUGGCGAAGGCGGCUUACUGGACUGUAACUGACGUUGAGGCUCGAAAGCGUGGGGAGCAAACAGGAUUAGAUACCCUGGUA
rnacentral:rRNA from 1 species